GACGAACGCUGGCGGCGUGCUUAACACAUGCAAGUCGAGCGAUGAAGCUCCUUCGGGAGUGGAUUAGCGGCGGACGGGUGAGUAACACGUGGGUAACCUGCCUCAUAGAGGGGAAUAGCCUUCCGAAAGGAAGAUUAAUACCGCAUAAGAUUGUAGUACCGCAUGGUACAGCAAUUAAAGGAGUGAUCCGCUAUGAGAUGGACCCGCGUCGCAUUAUCUAGUUGGUGAGGUAACGGCUCACCAAGGCGACGAUGCGUAGCCGACCUGAGAGGGUGAUCGGCCACAUUGGGACUGAGACACGGCCCAGACUCCUACGGGAGGCAGCAGUGGGGAAUAUUGCACAAUGGGGGAAACCCUGAUGCAGCAACGCCGCGUGAGUGAUGACGGUCUUCGGAUUGUAAAGCUCUGUCUUCAGGGACGAUAAUGACGGUACCUGAGGAGGAAGCCACGGCUAACUACGUGCCAGCAGCCGCAGUAACAC
rnacentral:rRNA from 1 species